rfam:Zostera marina strain Finnish scaffold_218, whole genome shotgun sequence.
GUACUUACCUGGACGGGGUCUAUGGUUGAUCAUGAAGGAUCAUGGCCUAGGUUGAUGAUCUCCAUUGCACUUAGGAGGAGCAUCAACCUAACGUCUCCCCAAGUGGGAGAGUGUACGUCAUAAUUUAUUACUUUGGGGGUACGCGUUCGCGCGGCCCCUUC